rnacentral:piRNA from 1 species
UCCAUGGUACCUCCUAACUACGCUGUUUACA